GGAGGGUCCUAUGUUCAAAAGUUUGCUGGUGUGUAUCUUUGUUGGCUCGACAUGUUUUUAAUUUAUGAUUGUUGUUGGUGGAGAGAGCGGAAGAUGUCGGGGACAGUUUGGAGAAGAUCAAGCGGCAGCUGGCCUCUGGGUCUGGUCAGAAUUUGUUGCAGGGUCCCCUUCUAAAGCGAUCUGAAACAUUGAGGAAAUGGAAUGAGCGAUGGGUAGUUUUGGACCCAACAACAGGGAAAAUGGA